CACUACAUAUAAUGAAACAAACUACAUAAUUGUCUUGACAAAAACACUAACCAUGGGCAGGUAAUGUAACUAACUUCGUGAUCUGGUUUUAAUAUGUUCGCAUUACAAUUUCGCCAAUGGAUCCUAUAGCUUGCCCAUUACAUUCAAGGUUUAGUUGGCUACUCUUAGCAGCCAUGGCGGUUAUAAACGGAACAGGGUGGGUCCAUAGAAGGAGUUCCAGGUCCUAUGCAGUAUUUAUAAGACUUUCCACGGCCACAAUUUCGAGGUUCAUUAUGUUCACCCGCCGUAGCAGUGGUAAACACUGGUGGAUCAUUGAUGUCUGCAAAAUUAACAGCCAUAUAUUUCCCAUUUUAUAUACAUAUAAGGCUAAAGUGCUAUAUAAGCGGAUAAAGGUAUAUAAGCCCUUGAACUUUUGCAAAAAAUCAAUUAAGCCCUCCGCAGAAAACGUAUUCAAUUAAGUCCUCAAACUAUCAAAUUGCAUCAAUUAAUCCCUUUGAUCAUUAUAGCAUUGGCAUGGCCGUUAGCGGCACUGAUGUGGUGCUCCAAGUCAGCUAAAAAAAACAUUUUUAAAAAAUAAAAAUAUUAAUUUUUUACUAGAAUGAACCUGGACAACCAUUUGUCCAGAUUCAUUUUAGACUUAAAUUUUUUAAAAAUUAUAAAAAAAUAAUUUUAUAAAUUUAUAAAGCAUUAUAAAAAAUUAUAAAAAUAUUAAAUAAAUUUCAAAAAUCUCAAAAAAUAUAUAAAUCAUUAAAAGGUUAACUCCAAAAUUUGUUUAUAUAUAUAUAUUCUAAAAUAUUUUUAAGAAAUUUUUGAAUUUUAUUUAAUAUUUUGAUAAAUUUUAAUAAUAUUAUUUAUUUAUUAUUUUAAAACAUAAAUUUUUUAUGAUUUUUUAAAAAAUUUAAGUCAAAUCAAAUUGGGCAAGUAUUUGUCCAGGUCAUUCUAGUAAUUUUUUUUUUACUUUUUUUUUGAAUUUUUUAUUUUUUAAAAAAAUUAUUAUUUUUAUUUUGUUGACGUCAACAACUGUCAUUGACAUAGAGUGCCAUGUGAGCAUUAUUGAUGGUCACAUCAGUACUGUAACAGUUAAAGAUGAUCAAAGGACUUAAUUGAUGCAAUUUGAGAAUUUAAAAAUUUAAUUGUGUACACUUUUGACAGAGGGGCUUGUUGAUUUCUUCGCAAAAGUUUAAUUGCGUUGAUUUUUUCGCAAAAAUUCAAGUGCUUAUAUACUUUUAGCCUAUAUAUAAUUAAAACCAUCCGUAUGUAAAAAUAAAAUAAAAAAAUCAAUAGAAUUGAAUAAUCAACAUAACACAUCCAAGUUCUUAUUCAUAUAAUGUUUAACAUUAUUUGAUUGUGAUUCAACUAUGUUAAUGUUAUAUAUAUUGCUUUAAGAUGUAAAAGAAAUGAAAAAUAGAAUAAAAGUGUUAAAUUUGUUGGUAAUGUGUGAUUUAUCCUUCUAGAUAAAUUAUAAAAAAAAAAUCAAUAUAAUCAGACAAUGAACGCAGUAUACUCAAAUUCAGAACUAUUUACUAAUAAUUUAACUAGUUAUCGUAUGCGUAUAUAUGUAAAUAUAUUGCUUGAUUAUAUAAAAUAAAAUUGGAGAUAUCUAUAGAAGUAAUAAACUUGUUGAUGUGAUUACUUACCCUUCUCCCCCAGCUGUCGAGCCAUGGUAAAAGUAGGGGUAAAGAGAGUGGAAGCCAGGAGAAUGCAUACCAUCACUAAUAAUGCUUUCAUUUUGGGGGGUAUAUUGUUGUUAUUAAUAGUAGGUAGUUUGUGUUAAGCAUGGCUUUCCUUUCGACCACUAUUUAUAGGUCGAUAUCUCAAGUGUAUUGUGGCUACUUUUCAAAUAUAAUUUGAUAAUAAAUUAUUAUUCACUCUAUAAAACUAGCAAAAUUGACAAAGGGAGGACUGAAGAAAUUUCCACGGCAGACAAUGGGUUAUAGGAUUAUAGUUAUUUUCUGUUUUUUUAAUAAUUUUAUUAUAUAUUCUGAUUAUAUCUGUUUUUUUUACACAAUAUUUAAAAUUUUCUAUAGUCCCUCCUAACUCAUAAAUAAGAAGAUAAUGCACUUUAGUGCACUCGAACCCACAUCCUUUUACAUUGGAAACAAUGUUCAUACCAAUCGAAUUAAGAUUUAAUCAGCUACCUUCUAUCCUUUUUAUAGUCCAUAUUUCCACACAAAAAUCAAAUUUUUAACAGUUGUCACUUUUAUUAUUCUCACUGGGAAAAAUAGAAACAUUAUUAGUGAUUAACUUUAUGGAUUCAAGAUGUAAGGAGAAAAUUUGAGGAUCAAAUUUAUGUUUAAUUAUAUAUAUAAUAUAUAAAAAUAUAAUUUGUUCGAUGUCAUUGAUAUUUGUUGGGUCUAGUACUAAAGAAUUCAAUACGUUUUUAGAUCCAAACCUCGUAGAUAAAGAAAAGAAUUUCAGAAAAACUUUAACCUCCAUUUAAUAACCCAAUUCAAUUCAAAUUUAAUGAUCAAAUAUUGAAGGAUCUCGUGAAAAAAAUCUUGUUCAACAACAACUCUUUUAGAAAAAAAAUAGACUUUUAUUUCUUAGUUGAUAUAUCGAUUUCUUAUUUCUAAUGAUUUGAUUUUAAUUUUUCUUAUAAUUUUAUAAUUUAUGAAAAUAUGAUUUGAUGGCAUUGAUACUUGUUGGGUUCAGUAGUAAGAAGGUUGAUGCAUUUUUGGGUCCUAAUUUUGUAGAUGAAGACAACAACACUAAAAAAACUUUACCCUCCAUUUAAAAACCCAGCUUAAUUAAACUUCAAAUUUACUUAUCAAAUAUUGAAGGAUCUCAAGAAAAAAAAGAAGAAGCAUUUUCUACAACAAUUCUUUUAGAAGGAAAACAGACUCUUAUUGUAUAGUUGACGUAUCAAUUUCUGCUUUGCAAUGAUUUGAUUUUAGGUACAUUUCAAUUUUGUUAAUGAAAGAUAGCAACAUCCACCCCAAGCCUCAAAUGACUUGUUAGAUCAUGAUAAUAAGGACAAAUAUGUUAAUUGUUAAGCAUUACUAACUCAUACAAUGUGGGAUCACUUCUUACACCAACACUAAAUAAAAAGCAAGCUUGAGGCCAAUCAUAGGACCAUGAGGUAUUACUUGUCUCUCAUCUUUAUCUUCUUUAAUAAGUUAAUAUACUUUUACUCUCUCCAUAAUCAUGAAUCCUUAAUUAACUUAAGUAUUAAAGAACAAUUAAAAUGUCAAAUCCAAUGCCCCUUAGCUUACCCUUGAGUCGUGCAGAUUGAUUCAAGCCUCUUGAAGCACCUCAACAAGUUUGGUCUACACCAACCUAAAGAAGACUCUAAUAUUUGGUGCUAGCUUUAGGAACUGAGCGAAAACCCAUGGAUUAGUCUUAACAACCUGUUAAGCUUCAAUUCUUUUCCCAAGUUUUUGUCUAAGCUCCUAUUUUUUCCAUUGGAGAUUUCAUAAAACUUUCAUUUUUGGAUUUUAGAAAGUUUCUCAAACAUAUUUAUCUCCAUUAUUUUGGUUUAUUGAAGGUUCUACUUUUUCAAUGUCGGUCAACAAUUGAUCAAAAUUAAAAAUAUUUUUUAAUAUUUAAAUAUUUAGUAUUGUAACUUUCUAUUUUAAAUUUAAAUUUAAUGUUUUUAUUUUAAAUAAAACUAAAUGUCAUGUGAAAUUUUUUCAUUGACCAUAACAUGCCACGUGGCACUUUUUCAUUGGUCAAAGUUGUCUAACAGUUUUUUUUAUCAUCCGUUGUAAAAUUAACCAAAAACAGAGGACAUUGAUACUUUAAGUACCAAAUUGAAAAAAAAAAGAUACUAAAGUAAAAAAAAACAGAUAUGCUUUAAGAGCUAAAUUGUAAUACCCCAGAAUUUGGGGUUAGAAGUUUUGAGGUUCUGGCUAGGAUCAUUGAAUAGGUGGAGCAAUUGAGUGAGUUUUCGCGUUUUAAUGUCAGAAUGAGAUUGCUGGUUUGAUGGUGGUGAGUGUGUUAGUUUAAAUUUGGGCUUUGGGUUUGAGUCCUCAUGUGUGUUUUGAGAAAUUAAUAUAUUUUGGUUUUGGUUUUUAAUUUUUAAAGAUUUACUUUAAUAUUUGAAAGAAGAGGUUUUUCAGUUUCACAUUCUUUUCCAUUUAUUUUUCCCUUUUUUUUUGUUGUUGUUCCCUCUUUUAUAUUUCGGUUCUUUCCCCAAAUUUCAAUUCUUUUGAUUUCUUGUUUUGUCCAUUUUACACUCAAGUUACGUGUUGUUUGUCAAGGCUGAUUGUCCUCGUGCGUUUCAUCUUAUCGGAAGUGAAGCGAGUAGGUUUUGCUCAUGAGGGUUUAUGAUAGAAUUGCUUAUAUUUCUAUUUUUUGUUAAUUGAAAUUCUUAUAGUUUAAGUUUACGUGUGAAAUUGAGGUUUCCAAAUAGUUUGAUGAGAGCGAAUCGAUUGGUCCUUGGUGCUUGACAUCGUGUUCUAAGGUAUGUGUUCUGAAACCGUUUAACUUCGGUAUCGAGUUGUGGUGGAAUUCAAUAAUGUCUCGUGCGUUUCUGAAAUUGGUUAUUUGAAGUAUCAUAUUGUUACUGAAUUGCAUGAAAUUUUGUAUGUUUUGGCAUAAUUCUGGGUUAUCAAGGGUUGGGAAUUGUUUCGACAUCCAAAGCAUGAUUUUUAGGCUGUUUCGGUGUGGUUUUGUGACCACACGGGCUUGUGUUGUACACGGGCGGUCCACAAGGCCAUAUGCAAUUGAGAAUUUAGGGUUUUCGAUGAUUUUUGGUACCACACGACCUAGCCAUACGAACAUGUGUCCCCACACAGGCAUGUCAGAUCUCCACAUGGUUGUGUCUUCUCUUCUCUUUAUUUUUGGCACUUUUGGACAGUGAAUUACACGGGCUGCUCACACGACCAUGUAACUUGGUCACAUGGGUGUGUGUCUCCUCCACAUGGGCGUGUAGGCCUCCACAUGGGCGUGUAGGCCUCUACAUGGCCGGGGCACACGGCCAUGUGACCCUAUUUGGUAGAAUUUUUGUUUUGAGUCAUAAACUGUCUAUUUUAUGUUUCUAUAUAAUCGAACCCUCAAUCAAGCCUCGGUAAGUGUGUUUAGGACUCGAUUUAGUUUGGUUCGUGUAUAUAUGUGUGUUUAUGGGCUUUAAUUUUAUUGCUCGUUCAUGUGAUGAAUAAGUAUGAGUUUAUUAUUAUUGUCAUAACUGAAUAUUAGAAUACAAGUGUAACCAAAUCUGAAUCUGUUCAACUGGAAAUGUUAAUGCCCAUUUCUGUAAGUUGUCUGCGUAAUGUGUGCAUUGUUGCAUAGCAUGAAAAUUUUGAGAUCUGGUUAUGAAGAGAAGGAAGACAGACUUAGCAGUUUUAACUACGAUACUUUUGAACGGUUUACCGCACUAUCCUAUACGUAUAUCAGCUUAGCUGAAUACAAUUUCUCAAUUGGUAUAGUUCCACAUUGUGGUGUGUAGGGUGGACGAACCUAUUAUGGUUCUAUGUGGUGUGCAGGGUGGACGGGCCUACCAUAGCCUUUAUGUGGUGUGCUGGAUGGACGAAGUGGUGUUUGGUUGGUGAGGUGGGAUUUUUGACUUGUGCAUCCAUUCGCAUCUGAAUAUACGUCUGUUUGUUAGAACAUUUUAUUUGUUUAUGUGAACAUUUGGUUACUGACAAUAUAGUUAAUGUCAUGCAAUAUGUUCUGAUUAUUGCUUAUGUUUGGAACAUCAUUUUUGUGGUUUGAUAUUGUAUUUACAUAUCGAUUGAGAUUUUUGUAAGUAAUAUUUUUAUACAUAUGCUUGACUAAAGUAUUUAUCGUGUCACUCCGUCUUUUGCCAUUUGUUUAUGUGUCGGACUCACACUGAACUCGCGUAGCUCAUCUUUGUAGUGUUUUUUCUCUUUCAGGUACAUUCCGUGUUUUGGAGUUGAACUCCACAUAGCGAAUGUCUCAGAGUUCUUUGAUCGGUUUGAUUUUAAAUACUGUUAUGAUAAACUAUUUGAAUUAUGCACCUUUGUUUUUGCACAUAAGUCUAUGUGUACUGUGGUAUGGGGAUUUUUAAGUUACUUUGAAAUUGUUUAAAAUCACUGAUUUGAUUUAUUCCUAACGGUUUUUAAACGACUGUUAAAUGUUGUUUCCAAAAACAACUACAUAUCAUUUAAUCUACUAAAAUUAUGAAGCAUAAGGGUUUAGCAAAGAAUUUUCUAUGGUUAUAAAUGAGUUUUAUCUCCGCCACUUUGGUUGGCCAAUGUAACUCCCGAAAUUCGGUCUAACUUCUAAGUCGGAUUUUGGGGUGUUACAUAAAUUCAAAACUAAGCCUUUUUUAUUUUAUAAUAGCUGAAAAAACACUUUUUUUGUCAUAUUGUAUUAUUGAUCUCAAUUAAUCUUAUAUCAAAUUUAAAAGAUAAGCUUGUUUACUAAAAAUUUUAAAAGAUAAAUGAAACAAUAAGUACUAUAGUCUAUAUCCAUAUUUUUUCCUUUUCCCUUCACUUGGAAAAUUUUAUAAAAAAAAUAUGCCAUUAAUCCAAGACCUUUUGUGGCGAAUUUUAGUAUAAAUGUCGCUAUAUUUAUGGUGCCAAAAUAUUCACACGAAAUUGUUGUGAAGCGGGUGAUGAAACUUGAAAUUAGCAAUUUUUUAUACAGUAAACGUCGCAGCUUUUGUCACAAUGGGUGGUGUUUUACUUUGAAACAUGGUGGUUAAAAGUAAUACAUGGCGACAUUUUUUCUAAAACCACCACUACUUUUGCCAUCGUAUGUAGAAUUUGAUAUAGUGCUUGGUCUCUCUCUAGUUCUAAUCUUAUCAUUGAUAUCUCCACUAAUAUCUUAAGUGAUUCUUUUUGACCCCUAAAUAAUAGUUGGAGUUGUUCAAUAUUGUUAUCUAAGUCAUCAUUUAGAUGAAUAAUAUUGGUUUCAUAAGUAUACAACAGGCAUUUCAAAAAUAUCUUUUUUUUAUAUACAAAAUUAUUUAUAAUCCUUCCUCAAUCCUUAAAUGGGAGGAUAAAUGCGCUUCAGUGUGCUCAAAUUCACGUUUUCGUGUACUAAUAACAAUAGCAAUACCAACAUUAAUCAAAAUAAGACUUAAUCAACCUUUUUUUUUAAUAAUGUAUUUAAUGCUUGAUGUAAUGGUGACUGAGUCAAGCACUACUGCAGUUAAUAAAUUAUUAUUUAAUUUUCAUAUUAAUAUCUAAUUUUUAUAAAAUUUUGGCUAUUAAUUAAUUAUUAUAUAAUUAUUCUCAAAUGAUAGAAAUAAGUCCAUUAACUAAUUUAUUUUUAUUGAUAAUUUCAAAGUUAUCAUAUGCUUGUUGAAAGAAAAGUAUCGAAAACGAAAUAUCAUGAAAUUUGGGUAGCAAAGGCAAUAAACGAGUGCAUUAAAAUUUACUACUUAUUUUUCCACACAAAAGAAUUAUAGCUCUUUUCUUUUUCUUUAUGCAUAUUAGAGGUGUUCAUGGGCAAGGUUGGAUUGAGUUUAGGUCGAAUUUAAGCAUGAUAUUAAUAUAUUUUAUAUUUUUUUAAGCCUGGCCCGACCUAUAAUGAGUACUUGAUUUCCAGUGGUGUCGAAAAAAUACGAUUUUGAUAUUUCAUUUCUGUUAACCGAGUCCGUAAAUAUUAAAAAUGGAUAUUUACGGAGUUAGUGUAUAAAUAAAUUGAAAUUCGGUUAAAUAAUUUAGUCGAAAUUCUGGUUAAUUAAGGCCUAGGGAUUAAAUUGAAAAAAAUUAAUCGCUAUAGAUUUUUAAUUAGGAAAAUACUUAGGGACUUAAAUAGUGAUUAUCCAUGGGACUAAAAUGGUUGAUAAACCAAUUUAAAAUAGAUCAUAAUGGGAUGUGAUGUUAAAAUGCCUUUAGAUUAAAUUAAUUAAUGAUUAAUGUUUAAUUAAAUUAAUUAAUUAAGUUUAAUUAUAAAUUAAACUAAUCAUAUAAGCCAAAUAAGUGGAAAAAGAUGAGAAAAAGAGUCAUCAUCUUCAACCUCAUCACCGUCCACCAUUUCUAAGAAAGAAAAAAGCUUUUGAAACUUUUAUACAUUCGACUAUAAAUUAUAAGUCCUUAGUCAUUUUUCUUUGAUUUUUAUAGAUUUGAGGUCAUGAGAGUUUGAUUUAACUAGCCCGUGUACUAAUUUUUGAAACUGUUAAAAAUUUUAAAAGUUUUCAUCGUUAGAAAAUAGAUGAGUAUAGUGUAAAUUUGAUAGAAAUUAAACUUAGUUUAUGAAAACGACUAAAUUGUAAAGCUUAAUUAUUAGUUUCGUACAUUAAAGACUAAAUUAAAUAAAAUGUAAAACUGUUAUGAAAUUUUAAUAAAAAUGAAAAUUGGCAGUUUCAUACAUUUUUUUCUAAAAGCGCCACUAUGCCAUUGUAUGUUGAAUUUGAUGUAGUGUUUGGUCUCUCUUGUUCUAAUUUCAUCACUGAUAUCUCCACUAACAUCCUUUAUUAAAUGAUUCUUUUUUACCCCCGAAUAAUAGUUGGAGUUGUUCAAUAUUGCUAUCUAAAUCAUCAUUUAGAUCAAUAUAUAAUAUUAGUUUCAUGAGUAUACAAUAAGCAUUUCAAUAAUAUUUUUUUCGUAUAAUAUUUAAAAUUAUUUAUAAUCCUUCCUUAACCUUUAAAUGGGAGAAUAAAUGCGCUUCAACGUGCUCAAAUUCAUAUCCUCGUGCAUUUAUAACAAUGACAACAUUAAUGUUCACCGAGCUAACACUCAACUAACUUUUUUAAUAAUGUCUUCGAUGCUUAAUACAAUGGCGACCAAAUCAAGCACUAGUGCAAUUAAUAAAUUAUUACCCAAUUUUCAUAAAAAACUAUUAUAUAAUUCUUCUCAAAGAAAUAUUGAUUGACAUCAAGUACAUUAACUAAUACAUUUUUAUUGAUGAUUUCAAAGUUACCAUAUGCUAGUCGAAAGAAAAAUAUCGAAAAUGAAAGAUCAUGAAAUUUGGGUAGCAAAAGCAAUUUAAUGGUUGCAUUAAAAUUUACAACAUAUUUCUUAAUACAAAGAAAUUAUAGCUCUUUUCUUUUUUCUUAUGCACAUUAGACGUGUUCAUAGGCCAAGUCGAAUCUAGUUUAGGUUGAACUUAAACAUGAUAUUAAAAUAUUUUAUACUUGUUCAAAUCUAACCUAACCUGUAAUGACUCGGUUUUCAAAUUCAACCACGAUUUUGUAUCAUAUAUUUUGAAGCUAUGAUUAUGAGGUUACUAUUCUAAAGCUACUCUGAGACUAAUUUCAUUAUAAUGCCAAUAAAAAAACCCACAUCAAACUUCCUAUACUCACUUAACAGUAGGACUAAAAAUUUAAAUUUUAGAAAAAUUAGUAACUAAAUUAAAAAAGUUUUAAUUAAGUGAGAAAAAUAAAAAUAAUCUCAUAAUUAAAAAACGUAGUUUACCCAAUAAAAAUACUAGAAAGGAAGGUUGAAAUUUAUAAUAAAGUAACUAUGAAAACAAAGCAUCACAUGAACGUACAAGCAGUUUGGAGGUAGCUUGAAUUAUCGAAAGAAACUCCUCCAGAGGAAGACUUUGAUUUAGAUACAUGGAAGAGUAAUUGAAAGCCUUGAGAAGCCAAUGUUGAUGAGCUCAUAGUAACUCGUUAUUGCAGACACACUACAUAUGAUGAAACAAACUACAUAAUAGUCUUGAAGAAAACACAAAUCAUGGGCAGGUAAUGCAACUUCAUGAUCUGGUUUUUAUAUAUUCACAUUACAAUUUCGCCAAUGGAUCCUAUAGCUUGCCCAUUACAUUCAAGGUUUAGCUGGCUACUCUUAGCAGCCGUGGCGGUUAUAAACGGAACAGGGUGGGAUCUUAGGAGGAGUUGUAGCUGGUAUGCAGUUCUUGUAAGGCUUUCCACAGCCACAAUUAGGAGUGGUAAACACUGGUGGAUCAUUGAUGUUUGCAAAAUUAACAGACGUAUAUUUCCCAUUUACAUAUAUAUAUAUAGCUAAAGGGUAUAUAAGUCCUUAAAAUUAUUUACUAAUAAUUUGACUAGUUAUUGUAUGCGUAUAUAUGUAAAAAUAUUGCUCGUUGAUUAUAUAAAAUAAAAUUGGAGAUUCCUAUAGAAUUAGUAAACUUGUUGAUGUAAUUAAUUACCCUUCUCCCCAAGUUGUCGAGCCAUGGUGGAAGUAGGGAUAAAGAGAGUGGAAGCCAGGAGAAUGCAUACCAUCACUAAUAAUGCUCUCAUUUUGGGGGGUAUAUUGUUGUUGUUAAUAGUAGGUAGUUUGUGUUAAGCAUGGCCUUUCUUUCGACUACUAUUUAUAGGUCGAUA
rnacentral:lncRNA from 1 species